rnacentral:rRNA from 1 species
CCUACGGGUGGCAGCAGUGAGGAAUAUUGGUCAAUGGACGAGAGUCUGAACCAGCCAAGUAGCGUGAAGGAUGACUGCCCUAUGGGUUGUAAACUUCUUUUAUAAAGGAAUAAAACGAGGCACGUGUGCCUUUUUGCAUGUACUUUAUGAAUAAGGAUCGGCUAACUCCGUGCCCGCAGCCGCGGUAAUACGGAGGAUCCAAGCGUUAUCCGGAUUUAUUGGGUUUAAAGGGAGCGUAGAUGGGUUGUUAAGUCAGUUGUGAAAGUUUGCGGCUCAACCGUAAAAUUGCAAUUGAUACUGGUAGUCUUGAGUACAGUUGAGGUAAGCGGAAUUCGUGGUGUAGCGGUGAAAUGCUUAGAUAUCACGAAGAACCCCGAUUGCGAAGGCAGCUUACUAAACUGUGACUGACAUUGAUGCUCGAAAGUGUGGGUAUCAAACAGGAUUAGAUACCCCUGUAGUC